rnacentral:lncRNA from 1 species
ACAUAUCAAGGAUAAACUUUCCUGGGAAAUGUCAAGGAGGAUACCCGUCAUCGGCUAAGAUGAACAUAUCAAGAUAAACCAACUGAACAAAAAGGGUAGGAAUUAUAUCUAUCGAAAGCAAGAUAGAAAACCGUCGGAGAGAAAAUACGUCACCGGUUAGGAUGAACAUAUCAAGGAUUAACUCUGCGCGGGGACAAAGUAGGAUUUACAACUACCGGUUACUGGGUAUAAAACCAAUCAAAGAGAAAAUCCGUCACUGG